AGAGCGAACGCUGGCGGCAGGCUUAACACAUGCAAGUCGAGCGCCCCGCAAGGGGAGCGGCAGACGGGAGAGUAACACGUGGGAACGUACCUUUCGGUUCGGAACAACCCAGGGAAACUUGGGCUAAUACCGGAUACGUCCGUAAGGAGAAAGAUUUAUCGCCGAAAGAUCGGCCCGCGUCUGAUUAGCUAGUUGGUGAGGUAACGGCUCACCAAGGCGACGAUCAGUAGCUGGUCUGAGAGGAUGAUCAGCCUCACUGGGACUGAGACACGGCCCAGACUCCUACGGGAGGCAGCAGUGGGGAAUAUUGGACAAUGGGCGCAAGCCUGAUCCAGCCAUGCCGCGUGGGUGAUGAAGGCCCUAGGGUUGUAAAGCCCUUUCGGCGGGAAGAUAAUGACGGUACCCGCAGAAGAAGCCCGGCUAACUUCGUGCCAGCAGCCGC
rnacentral:rRNA from 1 species